GAAAGCGUGACAAGGAGACUCCGGGCUAGGGUCGCGGCGGAACCCUGGAAGUGUGAAUUUCUGUGGCGUCUGGAUCGCGAGAGGAGUCGGCUUCUCCCUCAGAGGGCUUCCGGGAUAGGGCAGGAUUUUAGGGGUUUUGUUUUUAAGGGGAGCUGGUGUAAGGGAGGAGGAGAAUGAAUGGCAUACUGAUUGGAAUGUUAAUUGGAGUAUUUCAGAUGUGAAGAGUAAAGUAAAUCCAUACUCUUCUUUCUUUGAUUGCUCCAUUAAUCUGUCUGCAUUUUAAAAUUCUCAGCUUUGAAACCGGCCAGAGUGUUUGGCGGAAUUCAGACGGAAUUUGACGGAAUUCAGGUGUGAGGGUUUGAUCCCGUUUAAGUGCCUUUUAAUUAGGGCACGUAAUUCAACCACUGUUUACAAUGGGAUUUCUGAAGACCUGUGUGUUUAGAAGAAAUGCAUGCACUGCGGUUUGCUUCUGGAGAAGCCAAGUUGUACAAAAGCCUUCAGUUCGAAAAAUUAGUACUACCUCUCCGAGAAGCACUGUCAUGCCUGCUUGGGUGAUAGAUAAAUAUGGGAGUAAUGAAGUGCUUCGAUUUACCCAGAACAUGAUGAUACCAAUGAUACACUAUCCAAAUGAAGUCAUUAUCAAAGUUCACGCUGCAAGUAUAAAUCCUAUAGAUGUUAAUAUGAGAAGUGGUUAUGGAGCCACAGCUUUAAAUAUGAAACGUGAUCCUUUACAUGUUAAAAUCAAAGGAGAAGAAUUUCCUCUGACUCUGGGUCGGGAUGUGUCUGGUGUGGUGAUGGAGUGUGGACUUGAUGUAAGGUACUUCAAACCUGGAGAUGAGGUCUGGGCUGCAGUUCCUCCCUGGAAACAAGGCACUCUCUCAGAAUUUGUUGUUGUCAGUGGGAAUGAGGUCUCUCACAAGCCCAGGUCACUCACUCAUACUCAAGCUGCCUCCCUGCCGUACGUGGCUCUCACAGCAUGGUCUGCCAUAAACAAGGUUGGUGGCCUGAACGACAGGAAUUGCACAGGAAAACGUGUUUUAAUCCUGGGCGCUUCAGGUGGAGUUGGUACUUUUGCUAUACAGGUAAUGAAAGCAUGGGAUGCACAUGUGACAGCAGUCUGCUCCCAGGACGCCAGUGAGCUCGUGAGGAAGCUUGGGGCAGAUGAUGUGAUCGAUUACAAAUCCGGAAAUGUGGAAGCUCAGUUGAAAUCUUCAAAGCCGUUUGACUUUAUCCUCGACAAUGUUGGCGGAUCUACCGAAACAUGGGCUCUAAAGUUCCUCAAGAAGUGGUCGGGAGCCACGUAUGUGACUCUGGUGACUCCUUUCCUCCUGAACAUGGACCGGUUGGGCAUCGCGGAUGGCAUGCUGCAGACAGGCGUCACCGUGGGUUCUAAGACGUUGAAGGGGAAGGUCCAGCCAUGACGCAUGAGGAACUUUACACUGCGUUUUGCUUUUAAAACUGUCUUAUUCCUCGGAGCCAGAAAAAAAAUAAUUGUGAUUGGAUUUCUUGUCUAAGAUCAUAUUUUGGUGCCUUAUGCCCUUGAAGCAUUCCUGAAUUAGCAUUUCUGGCAAGGAGUCCAUUAUCGCUGGGCCUUUUUCAUGGCCAGUGGUCCAUGUCUAGAUGACAUUGCGGAACUGGUGGAGGCGGGAAAGAUUCAGCCAGUUAUUGAAAAAACCUUUCCAUUUUCUAAAGUUCCAGAAGCCUUCCUGAAGGUAGAAAGGGGACAUGCACGAGGAAAGACCGUCAUUAACGUUGUUUAAAUAAAUAUUCAGUUUGGUGA